AGGACGAACGCUGGCGGCGUGCUUAACACAUGCAAGUCAAGGGGGCCCGCAAGGGCAACCGGCGAACGGGUGCGUAACACGUGAGCAACCUGCCCAUCUGUGGGGGAUAGCCGGUCCAACGACCGGGUAAUACCGCAUACGUUCACCUGGGGGCAUCCCCGGGUGAGGAAAGCCUUCGGGCGCAGGUGGAGGGGCUCGCGGCCUAUCAGCUAGUUGGUGGGUAACGCCUACCAAGGCAUCGACGGGUAGC
rnacentral:rRNA from 1 species